rnacentral:rRNA from 1 species
GUGGGGAAUAUUGGACAAUGGGCGAAAGCCUGAUCCAGCCAUGCCGCGUGUGUGAAGAAGGUCUUCGGAUUGUAAAGCACUUUAAGUUGGGAGGAAGGGCAGUAAGUUAAUACCUUGCUGUUUUGACGUUACCGACAGAAUAAGCACCGGCUAACUUCGUGCCAGCAGCCGCGGUAAUACGAAGGGUGCAAGCGUUAAUCGGAAUUACUGGGCGUAAAGCGCGCGAAGGUGGUUUUGUAAGUUGGAGGUGAAAUCCCCGGGCUCAACCUGGGAACUGCCUCCAAAACUGCAUGUCUAGAGUACGGUAGAGGGUAGUGGAAUUUCCUGUGUAGCGGUGAAAUGCGUAGAUAUAGGAAGGAACACCAGUGGCGAAGGCGACUACCUGGACUGAUACUGACACUGAGGUGCGAAAGCGUGGGGAGCAAACAGGAUUAGAAACCCCUGUAGUCC